GACAGUGGCGCACGGGUGAGUAACGCGUGGGGACCUACCUUUUAGUACGGAACAACAGUUGGAAACGACUGCUAAUACCGCAUACGCCCUGAGGGGGAAAGGCUUCGGCCGCUCUUGGAUGAUCCCGCGUCUGAUUAGCUUGUUGGUGGGGUAACGGCCUACCAAGGCGACGAUCAGUAGCUGGUCUGAGAGGAUGAUCAGCCACACUGGGACUGAGACACGGCCCAGACUCC
rnacentral:rRNA from 1 species